rnacentral:rRNA from 1 species
CCUACGGGGGUCAGCAGUGGGGAAUAUUGGACAAUGGGGGCAACCCUGAUCCAGCCAUGCCGCGUGUGUGAAGAAGGCCCUCGGGUUGUAAAGCACUUUCAGUGAGGAAGAACGCCUGGUGGUUAAUACCCAUCAGGAAAGACAUCACUCACAGAAGAAGCACCGGCUAACUCCGUGCCAGCAGCCGCGGUAAUACGGAGGGUGCGAGCGUUAAUCGGAAUUACUGGGCGUAAAGCGCGCGUAGGUGGCUUGAUAAGCCGGUUGUGAAAGCCCCGGGCUCAACCUGGGAACGGCAUCCGGAACUGUCAAGCUAGAGUGCAGGAGAGGAAGGUAGAAUUCCCGGUGUAGCGGUGAAAUGCGUAGAGAUCGGGAGGAAUACCAGUGGCGAAGGCGGCCUUCUGGACUGACACUGACACUGAGGUGCGAAAGCGUGGGUAGCAAACAGGAUUAGAUACCCGUGUAGUC